rnacentral:tRNA from 1 species
GGUCUCGUAGCUCAGUCUGGAUAGAGCACCGGAUUACGGAUCCGGGUGUCGGAGGUUCGAAUCCUUCCGGGACCACCA